rnacentral:misc_RNA from 1 species
UUAAAGCCUUUCACUAGCCUGAAAAAUCCUUCUACUAGCGUUUUCAAUGGUCUCUUAUCACAAAUUGUACCAGACGAAAAUAUCCCCUUCGUUUAAUCUAUGACGACAAGGAAACAAACAAUAUGUGGCAUUGGCUACUUGAUUGACGGCUGGCUUUAAUUUGUAAAAAUGUCGAUAACUAUGGCUAUCGCACAAGCGGUUUCAGGUCUCCGAGGACAUCCCAUUUUUGUUUGUGGACAAUCAGCGACUAGGCUACUCCGUUUAGACCGUCGCUCUCUACGCUGUCCUGUUGUGCUGUUUGUUUUUGUGAUCUUGUUUUUCCAGAGUUCAACACCAUGGCAGAAACUGAUCAAUCACCACCUAAUGGCAGCGUAGACAAAGCGGAGGACGCUGUCGCUGAAAAGAGUCCAUCAAGUUCUGUGUGUUCAUCUUCAGAAAUGGAUCUAGCAGCAGUUAAACAAGAUGCAAACGCCGAAGCAGCUGGAAAUCAAAUUACUCGAACGAACUUGAUCAACACGCUCCUCAUCUGCCUGCUCCAACUUUUGAAUUUUAUGGAACGAUAUUCCUUACCCGGAAUCUUACCCGUCAUUAUCGACGAAUUGGAUUUGAGCAACUUGCAAGGCGGUUUACUGCAAUCAUCCUUUAUCGUUAGUUACGUCGUGGUGGCCCCACUUGUCGGAUACCUUGGCGAUCGUUUUUCAAGAAAGAUUAUCCUGAUUGUAGGACUCUCGGUUUGGAGCUUGGUGUCAUUGGCCGGUUCCUACAUGACCACCUAUUCCUCUCUAUUGGCAUUGCGCUGUCUAGGAGGGAUUGGAGAGGCCACAUAUUCGGCUAUCGGUCCGGCAAUGAUUGCUGACAUGUUCGUCGGUGAUACCCGUUCCAACAUGUUGGCCAUGUUUUACUUCAUGAUGCUUGUUGGCGGAGGGUUAGGUUACAUCACUGGAUCGGGCGUAGCAGCGGCAACAGGCUCAUGGAAUUGGGGUCUUCGUGUCACACCAAUUCUUUCCCUGAUCUCCGUAAUCCUUAUUGUUAUCUUCCUGAAAGAACCAGCAAGAGGCGAGAGUGAAGGUUCCCGUCUUGUCAGCACUUCAUGGAAAAAAGACAUAAUCUAUCUCUUACACAACCGGAGUUUCAUGUUUUCGACGACCGCAUCUGUUGCCCUAGUAUUUGUCAUUGGGGCCAUUGGUGUAUGGGGUCCGCAAUUCGUCGUGCUUAGUCGCAAAGUUAUUUCGGAUGACGAGCAUACGUUUGAAGAGAUAUCUUUGGUGUACGGAGUUAUUAGCAUCGUUUCUGGAAUAACAGCUGUAGUAUCAGGUGCUUUAAUGGGCAUUAAACUUCGUGCUCGGUAUCCUGAAGCAGACGCUCUCAUCUGUGGCAUCGGGAUGUUACUUUCUGUCCCCUUUUUCUACGGCUUCCUGGUGGCCGGUCUCGAACCUCUAUAUUGGAUUUAUAUUCUGUCAUUUAUCGCCCUGUGGUUCAUCAAUUUGAAUUGGGCAUUGGUCGGAGAUAUUCUUUUGUACGUGGUCGUGCCUACUAGACGAGCGACCGCUGAGACGUUCCAGAUUAUGUCGGUUCAUGUUUUUGGCGAUGCCAGUAGUCCCUUCAUUAUCGGUUUGAUCUCCGAUGCUUUCGAACCGCUCAUCGAGUCCGAUUCGGUGGACUACCGCAAGUAUAGAUCACUACAGUACGCCCUGCUCAUUAAUCCGUUCAUUCAACUGUUGAGUGCCGCCCUCUUUUUGGUUGGAUCGUGGCAUCUUCUCGGCGACAGAGACAAAGCCAAACGUGCAGUUGCGAAUGGCAAUGCUAUUGCACUUCCACGUGUUUCGAAUUAAGCUCAAAUAAUAUGCUGUUUUUCAAAUUCAUGCUGACGUACAUAAUAACCUUACUAGCGUCUUCCGAUAUGUUAUCAACUUCAGUCACGCCCCUUGAAUCCUUUCAACUGAUCUUAUGGGAGAAACUGGGGUCAGUUUAUUUUUCUAUCUGAGCCAGUAAUGCUGUCUACUAUUGUUCAAAUCGAAUAAAAGAAAACAAGUAAAAAGAAAACAGGUUGUACAUGUGAACUUUUGCUAAGCUGAUCUUGCUGAUUUGAUUUAAUCGUGAUUGGUUAUCGGUAACCACCGUUUCCCAAAUCGAAUGUUUUGUUUUGUUUCAUCACUAGAUUGUUAAGGGCCUUUUCACGUCCGUUAAAAUCGAUCGCAAUGGAUGCCGGAACAGACAGUCAGUUAGCAGAAACAACUUCCGAUGGCAAUAAAGAAAAAUUCCAACUAACGGAGAAUUAAACCGUUCAAGUGGAAAGCAACAAACGAUCCCGCUUGAAAGUAGCUACCGUUUGUAUUCUUCUUUUUUUUUCAAUCUCACCUACUACAUGGAUCGAUUCAGCAUGGCUGGUUUCCUGACAUCAAUCCAGUGCGAUUUAGGAGCUAAUGACUCACAAGCCGGUCUCUUACAAAUAACAAAUUUAUCAUUCCUUGCCUAAUUUUUCCUCCUGUGGUCGGUUACCUACUACUCUCGAAGGCUAGUAUUUUCUUUAAUUUUCCUACACAAUCCAUUUGUCAAAUUAAUAUCGGGUGUCAACAGUGAUAUCAUUUUUCUAAAUUCCUAUAGGUAAAUUUUGGUACUUAGAAUCUUUUUCUGGUCUUGCGCCACAUUGACGGCUAGUUUUAUGUCGGAAUUGUAAUCGUUUAUCGUCGUCAGAUCGCUGACAGGUGUCGGGGAAACCUGUUUUAUCUCGAUCUCUACGCUAGUAACGUCCGCGCAAAAUACCUUGCUGUUAAUCACUUCGCUAUUCCAGCACUACCAGUAGGAAGGUAUUUAUCAAUCACUGUUUCUCUGUUCACCGAUUCUACUUUGAUUGCACGUGGAUUUAAAAUGUGGGCAUUUUGUCACACUAUCUAUACCCAAUGUUAACUGUCCCUUGAGGAUUUUGAUUAGGAAAGAAAGGAAUUUUUAAAACAUUCUUUAUCUGUCCGGCUGGAUAAAAUUACCCACAAAAGUCAAGUCCAAUUCAAACAAGUCUGAACAUCGACUGACAAUGACCCGUUAUCGGUGCGAUGGUACGAUAGAGUUUAUAAGUACUCGUCACGUGUCACAAUUGACUCGCAUCAGUUGUUGUUGUACUAAAUGAACUUGAAAAUUCUGUAGGCUACUACCAAUAAAUUGGUUUGAGUGAUGUGGUUUAAAUACCACACACGAAGUAAUAAAAUGUGUUUUAAUUUUUUAAAUAAGUUGCAUCACAUAUAUAUCCCGUGGUCUGUGCCAUAUGGUUUGCAGUUGUACCCAGUGGUAUUUGUUGCAUCCAGCCAUUUGAGAUGUGAAGCUGUUAUUUGCUGUAGAUCAAUUCAUUCAAUAGAAAGUGCUGGAUGGUAAAUACGGUCCAUAAUGAAUGCAUUAACUCCCUGCGUUGGUAACUGCACCAUAAAAUUAUAUGUUGAGAUUUGUCAAUACAAAUUUUUUUUAAAUUUUAA